CUCCUACGGGAGGCAGCAGUAGGGAAUCUUGCGCAAUGGGCGAAAGCCUGACGCAGCAACACCGCGUGAGGGAUGACGGCCUUCGGGUUGUAAACCUCUUUCAGGAGGGACGAAAAUGACGGUACCUCCAGAAGAAGCCCCGGCCAACUACGUGCCAGCAGCCGCGGUAAUACGUAGGGGGCGAGCGUUGUCCGGAAUCAUUGGGCGUAAAGAGCUCGUAGGCGGCUCAGUAAGUCGAUCGUGAAAGACCGGGGCUCAACCCCGGGGCGUCGGUCGAUACUGCUGUGGCUUGAGUCCGGUAGAGGAAGAUGGAAUUCCCGGUGUAGCGGUGAAAUGCGCAGAUAUCGGGAGGAACACCAGUAGCGAAGGCGGUCUUCUGGGCCGGAACUGACGCUGAGGAGCGAAAGCGUGGGUAGCAAACAGGAUUAGAUACCCUGGUAGUCCACGCCGUAAACGAUGAGUGCUAGGUGUCAGAGGCUUUGACCCUUUUGGUGCCGUAGUUAACGCGUUAAGUACCCCGCCUGGGGAGUACGGCCGCAAGGUUAAAACUCAAAGGAAUUGACGG
rnacentral:rRNA from 1 species